GUCCACGCGGUAAACGAUGCGGACUGGGCGUGGGGGACUUGACCCCCUCCGUGCCGGAGCUAACGCGGUAAGUCCGCCGCCUGGGGAGUACGGCCGCAAGGCUAAAACUCAAAGGAAUUGACGGGGGCCCGCACAAGCGGCGGAGCGUGCGGUUUAAUUCGACGCGACGCGCAGAACCUUACCAGGGUUUGACAUGCGCCUGCAGAGCCGGGAAACCGGUUGGCUUUUGAAGGUGGCGCACAGGUGCUGCAUGGCUGUCGU
rnacentral:rRNA from 1 species